rnacentral:rRNA from 1 species
UGUUUCGGCUAGGGGGCCAUCCCGGCUUACCAACCCGAUGCAAACUGCGAAUACCGGAGAAUGUUAUCACGGGAGACACACGGCGGGUGCUAACGUCCGUCGUGAAGAGGGAAACAACCCAGACCGCCAGCUAAGGUCCCAAAGUCAUGGUUAAGUGGGAAACGAUGUGGGAAGGCCCAGACAGCCAGGAUGUUGGCUUAGAAGCAGCCAUCAUUUAAAGAAAGCGUAAUAGCUCACUGGUCGAGUCGGCCUGCGCGGAAGAUGUAACGGGGCUAAACCAUGCACCGAAGCUGCGGCAGCGACACUCAGGUGUUGUUGGGUAGGGGAGCGUUCUGUAAGCCUGUGAAGGUGGCCUGUGAGGGUUGCUGGAGGUAUCAGAAGUGCGAAUGCUGACAUAAGUAACGAUAAAGCGGGUGAAAAGCCCGCUCGCCGGAAGACCAAGGGUUCCUGUCCAACGUUAAUCGGGGCAGGGUGAGUCGACCCCUAAGGCGAGGCCGAAAGGCGUAGUCGAUGGGAAACGGGUUAAUAUUCCCGUACUUGGUGUUACUGCGAAGGGGGGACGGAGAAGGCUAUGUUGGCCGGGCG